AUACUUUUCCACAAUAUUUAUGGUUAAAAGUUCAUUUAUGUUGGCAUUGCCCCUGCGCAAGGAUGAAACGCACAAAUCGAGAAAUGGUCCAAAUUUUU
rnacentral:snRNA from 1 species